AGGCGAAACCUCCGAAAGGAGGUCGCGGGGCAGUGGUGUGCCCCGUCUGACGAUGCCAGCCGACA
rnacentral:hammerhead_ribozyme from 1 species